rnacentral:rRNA from 1 species
AUUGAACGCUGGCGGCAGGCUUAACACAUGCAAGUCGAGCGGUGGAGAUUGCUUCGGUAAUUGACCUAGCGGCGGACGGGUGAGUAGUACUUAGGAAUCUGCCUAUUAAUGGGGGACAACAUCUCGAAAGGGAUGCUAAUACCGCAUACGCCCUACGGGGGAAAGCAGGGGAUCACUUGUGACCUUGCGUUAAUAGAUGAGCCUAAGUCGGAUUAGCUAGUUGGUGGGGUAAAGGCCUACCAAGGCGACGAUCUGUAGCGGGUCUGAGAGGAUGAUCCGCCACACUGGGACUGAGACACGGCCCAGACUCCUACGGGAGGCAGCAGUGGGGAAUAUUGGACAAUGGGGGGAACCCUGAUCCAGCCAUGCCGCGUGUGUGAAGAAGGCCUUAUGGUUGUAAAGCACUUUAAGCGAGGAGGAGGCUCUUUUGGUUAAUACCCAAGAUGAGUGGACGUUACUCGCAGAAUAAGCACCGGCUAACUCUGUGCCAGCCGCCGCAGUAACAC